GCCUCUUCACCGCCGCGUAUCAGUCCGCCAACGCUGCCGUCGCGAGCACGGGACGAAUCUAAGGGUAAAAGGAGGCGGUUUGCUCCCCACGUUCAGAGCCGAGCCUAUCUGUGCCAACACCCUUUUCCUUCUUUUCGGAACAGCACCUUCUUACUAAACAGAUCGGAGGUUGGACUGAGAGGGCGGGGGCCGGAGGCGGGUCAUGGGCUGGGGGGAAGGGUAGACGAGCGGCGGAAACCCUUAGACUCAGAGAAGCAUCGAGAACCGGAAGGAGACCAUGGGAGGAAGGUAAUGGAAGCGGCAGCUGCGCGGUCGAGCCCCACGCCCCUCCCGAAAGCGUCCCCCAAUUUCCUCACUUGGUAUUGAGGAGGCGGAUCUCGCGAGAGUCUCGUGGCUGGCCAGCCGGAGCUGUAGCGCUGCAAUGACUUAAGGGCAGUUUUGUGCACUCUUCCUGAUGGGGGCCCGCCCCCAAUCGACAAAUUCUCGCGAGAUGCAAUGGGGCACCGGCUCGAGCUGGGGCGGGACGUCGUCGAGGAAGCACCGCCCCUGAAUGCUUCUGCAGGUGGGAGGGAGAGGAAAUGGAAUUCCCCUGUCUGAAGCCAAGGUAGCAAACAUUUUUACUUACUCAAAGGGAAUUCACAAUAUCCAGGAGGUCCAUGAAGAAAAGUCCCAGAGAAGCUGAUUUGUACUCCCCUAAUCUAAACAAGCUUCAGUAUGAAAGUGUAAUGGACCAUGUUAAUGCUCUGAAUUAACAGGGCACAGAGGACUGGGACAAAUUUGAGGUCAGAGUUCUUAACGUUUUGUGCCACAGACCACAUUAGCAGUCUGUUGAAGCCUUGGACUCUUCUCAGAAUUAUACUUUUAAAUGUUUGAAAUAAAAUUCAUAGCAUUACAAAAGAAAAAAAUUUGAAAUAGAAUUUCAAAAUAUUAAAGGCAAAUUUUUGAUAUAGGAAUAUAUGUGCUUUAUUAACAUAGUAAAAUCUAGUAUGGGCCUAAUAAAGACCAAAUUUUUGAAAUAGUGAUGAAUAUAUAAUUUACAGAGUUUGCAACAGUUGUAAUGUGAUAUAAAGUAAUCUGUGAUUCUCCCAGGAGAUACAGAUAGAAGUGCAGCUGUUUGUUGCUUUCCAUUCAGAACUGAAGGAAAUGUUAAUUUUCAGGUAGAGAUUAGUAAAAAUAGAGAUGUAAUUUAUCUCCCAUUCAAGUUGACACAACACUCGAAUCCUGUCCAUGGACUUAAUGUUAAAAAAUCUUGGGUGAGGAGUUCCCUAGUGGCUUCAUGGUUAGGGAUCUGACAUUGUCACUGCUGUGGUAUGGGUUUGAUCCCUGGCCCAGGAGCUUCUGCAGGCCAUAGGUAUAGCCAAAUAAUUAAGUUAAAAAUAAAACCAUUAAAAAAUUUGGGGUGGAAUGAAGUAGGCAUAUUCCUGUUGGUAAGCCUUGAAGGGAUUGUGAAAUUUUGACAUAGAAAUAUAAUUGGUAUUCAUAAUAAUAGUGAUGUAUUAAAAAGUUUACCACCAAUAUAGUCUUAUUAAGAAGGCAUGGAAGUGAGUAAUAGGUUUAGAAAAUAAAUUUAUCCCAUUUGUUGAUUUCUUUCCUUUUUUUGAGGUACCUAUGAAGGUACCCUAUAGAAAAUUUACCUACCCAGAAUGAUUCAUUUCACAAGCAUUCUGAAUAACUUAGGUUUUAUGGUAUCACUCUUACUUAUUACACAGCUUUACAAUGGUGGAAGAGUUGCGAACUGAAAAUUAUAAUAAAAAAUGAAAGAAAUUAAAAUACUGUAUAUUUUAAAUUCUUAAUAACAAGUAGUAAUUAUCAUCUGUGUGUGCUGGGCCCUUUAAAUUUUUUUUUUUUUUUCUUUUUGGGGUCGCACCCACAGCAUAUGGAAGUUCUCAGGCUCGAAUCGGAGCUAUAGGUGCUGGUCACAUCCACAGCAGCAUGGUAUCAAAGCCAUAUCUCACAGCAACUCUGGAUCCCAGACCCACUCACUGAGGGAGACUAGGGAUCAAACCCACAUCUUCAUGGAUACUAGUCGGGUUCAUAAUCUGCUGUGCCACAACGGGAACUCCCGGCCCUUUGAUUUCUCUCAACAAAUCCCCAUUACACAGAUUAAACAUUCAAGGUCAUACAGUCACUGAGUAGGUUGCCAGAAUUUAAAUCUAGGUAAUGUGAUCUCAAAGCUGUCUUUUUUUAAAAAUUAAGAUAUAGUUGAAAAGCUCUGACUUUUAACUACUAAGAUGUUUUUUUACCCUUCAACUAUUAGUCAACAUUAAUUUGCCCACUAGUAUAACAAAUACAUAUUUGCUGACUCAAAAUAUUCCUACCCAGUAUUAAAAAGGAAUUUUCUGAAUUCUUCCUUUGCUGUGGUAUUGUUUAUAUCCAACACUGCCUUUAAAAUAAGUGGGCUACCUGUUGGGAAUGGAAAAUAGUUUGUUUUACAGAAAUUUUUGUUGUAGUAGAGUUUUGCUUAGAAGAUGAAGAAAUCCACUCAUGCCUUUCCUUGCCCUACAAAUAUAUUUUCAUAUCUGAAAUUAAAUCUUUGUGUUAUAAUGGUGCAAUUUUUUAUAUUGGCCACUAUCAAAGUCAUGUGCAAGAAAUUACUGCAUGUAAAAUCCUAAUAUAUGAAGUUCUGGAUUAUCCACACUUAAUGGAAGCACAUUCAUUUUUAUUUGGCACUGAAGUGAAUUUACUGGUUGAUACACUUUCUGUUUGUUUGUAUUUACACUGACAAACUUACAUUUCUACUCAGUUUUCCUAAGAUUAAAAUUAAAAGGACCAUGGCCUGAAGUAUUUUGAUGUUUUAGAUAGCGGUUUAGAAUUAUCUCAAACUUUAAAACACUAUUCACAUAUCUGGUAGUAUAGAGAACCCACUUUACAGUUGCAAUUGACCUGUUUGAAUUAUGAUGAUAGAAAUGUCUCCAUCUGAAAAAAAGGUAGGAAAAUAAUCAUUUUAAAUAUUGAAGUGUGCAAUAUGUUGAAGUUAUGGUUUUAUAUAUUGAAACAUUUACAUUCAGAAAUUAAAGAUAACAAAAAUGUUGAAGAUAGGAGCUAAAACGAAUCCAUUCCUUAUUGAAUAGAAGUCUAUAAUUAUCGUAGAUCAGUUUUUCUUGCAUAAAUUGACAUAAAACAUGAGAAAAAUAUAAAGAAUGAAAAAAUUAGCAUAAAAGUAACAAUGGAAUAAUUAAUCCAAAUUAUGAAGUCCUAAUGUUAUAUGAAUGCAUCAGUGAAGCUACAUUAUUGUAAUAUUGUGAGUAGAGGGGUUAAUUAAAAUGUACUUGUGAAUAAAUGUAGUUAACAUACAUCAGUACAUAUAUUGUUAAUAUUGCAUCUGUAUUUUUAAAUCUUUCUAACGUUGUCACAGCAUUUUUUUUUCCUUACUAAAGAAUAAUCGAUUUAC